CCGGCGCACGGGUGAGUAACACGUAUGCAACCUGGCCGCCACAGGGGGAUAACCCGCGGAAACGCGGCCUAAUACCCUGUGACGCCACCGGAGGGCAUCCUCCGGUGGCCAAAGGAGCGAUCCGGUGGCGGAUGGGCAUGCGGCGCAUUAGCUAGACGGCGGGGUGACGGCCCACCGUGGCGACGAUGCGUAGGGGUUCUGAGAGGAAGGCCCCCCACACUGGGACUGAGACACGGCCCAGACUCCUACGGAAGGCAGCAG
rnacentral:rRNA from 1 species